UACGAAGGGGGGCUAGCGUUGCUCGGAAUCACUGGGCGUAAAGCGCGGGCAGGCGGCUCGAAACGUCUGAUGUGAAAUCUCCUCGCUCAACGGGGAGAGGCCAUUGGAAACGGUCGAGCUGGAGGGCAGUAGAGGUAGGCGGAAUUCCGGGUGGAGUGGUGAAAUGCGUAGAGAUCCGGAGGAACACCAGUGGCGAAGGCGGCUCACUGGCCCGAUACUGACGCUGAGGCACGAAAGCGUGGGGAGCAAACAGGG
rnacentral:rRNA from 1 species